rnacentral:rRNA from 1 species
UACGUAGGCAGCGAGCGUUGUUCGGAAUUACUGGGCGUAAAGAGUGUGUAGGCGGUGUUCCCAGUCUGUUGUGAAAUCUCCCGGCUUAACUGGGAGGGUGCAGCGGAAACUAGAAUGCUAGAGGGUGGGAGAGGUAAGCGGAAUUCCUGGUGUAGCGGUGAAAUGCGUAGAUAUCGUAAGGAAGACCAGUGGCGAAGGCGGGUCUCUGGACAGUUCCUGACGCUGAGGCACGAAGGCCAGGGGAGCAAACGGG